UCCGGUUUGUCACCGGCAGUCCCAUUAGAGUGCCCAACUGAAUGUAGCAACUAAUGGCAAGGGUUGCGCUCGUUGCGGGACUUAACCCAACAUCUCACGACACGAGCUGACGACAGCCAUGCAGCACCUGUGUCCAGGUUCCCUUUCGGGCACACCCCCAUCUCUGGAGGCUUCCUGGCAUGUCAAGGGUAGGUAAGGUGGGGAUGACGUUGUACACCUGAAC
rnacentral:misc_RNA from 1 species